ACUGCUGCUCCACGUGCUCGACUGACUCUUGCUUGAAGACAUUACAGGAGAGGACACUGGUCUGGCUGGUGGGGACGUGGCAGCUCCUAAAUGAGGAGGUCCAGAUGCUGUCAGAGAGUGAGCUCUUCUUGAUGACAGGGUGUUAGAUGGAGAAGCAUUAAUAAUAAUAUUUUGAUCUGACUCUUCUUGUUCAUCAAUAUCUUGAGGAUCUGAACCACUUCUGUUUCGAUAUUCCUUGCAGCUCUUUGCCUUCCGAGUUGCCAUUUCAUCAUCAGUGGCCUCCCCACUUUCACCCCUCAUGAGUACUUUCUUCUUUUUCUUAGCUGCACUUAUUCCCAGAGUGUUGUUUCUCUGCACACUAGGUUUCUCAGUGCUUUUGGUCAGAGUUCCUGUGUUUGUGUUCCUUGUGCUCCAUCGUCUGCCUCCAAACAGUUCGACAGCCUGAGCCAAGGUUGGGCCUUCAAACCUUC
rnacentral:lncRNA from 1 species